CCUCCUCAUCCUCGCCGACCUGUUGGCCUUCAGCCUCCCGCCCCUCUACGAGAAGUACAAGGUGCAGAUCGAUCACUACGUGAGCGUCGCCCGCAGCCAGACCAAGGAACUUGUGGCCAAGUGAGUGCCUGGGCCCCCCCCAAAAUCCUGGGCCACCCCC